CAUAUCGUGCAGCCCUAGAAUAAAGAAAUUGCAUCAAAUCUAAAAUACGGUCUUAAGAAUGCGAGUUUUGACAAAACUGGAGCUAAAAUGAGCACAUGAUCAAUUCCCUUAAGUCAGCUAAUAUUUCUGCAGAGGAAACAUCCGCCUCUCAGUUUUCUCUGAAGUCACUUUGACUCAACAAAAGCAAAAAACAUUUCCCAAUACCUGAACGUCUCAACUUAGACAAACUUCUUCCUGCUUAACGUGCAUCUAAAAACGCCGCUGAAACAGCAUUUUUUUAAUCCUCGUGAAAAUUCAGUCAGGUCACAUUUUUACUGACGAUCACGUCAGGAGGGCGCCGGUCUGAGACAAUGACGGUAUUCACAGCCGUCGGACCGGAUGGGUCUGGAAUGAAGGCUUCAGCAGAUCGGCAUGUCGGGCAGGAAUGCUGCAGGACGGCAGUCGUCAGCUGAUCUAUGACAAACUGACUGAUAAAAGGGAUUCCUGAGGCGGCAGGAACGGCGUGAAGCCACGAAAACAAACCACCGUCUGAAGGUGGUCAUGACGCGUCUCACAGGUGACAGAGCAGCUCAACGGGAUCAACCUGGAACCACGGCUGGCUUUGAUCUGGAGACGUGACGCCACGAGUUUCUGCUUACAGAUUUUCAAAAUAAAACGCAGCACUUGAGGAAGGCCGAUAUCGUCUUGAGCUGCAGCAGGACGGCUCAGAGGGACAACUUUCUGAUCUGGAUGUGGAAAUCUGUGGUCUGAAGAUGACAGAGGCGGUAGAUGAGACGUGGAUCAUGGCGCUGCAGCAGCAAAGAAAGAAAGAAGGAAUCCGUUCAGACUAGACGAGUUUCUGAGAUCAGGAGUGUGAAAUGAGUCUUCAGGCAAACAUGCAGCUGUUCUAUUUCUAACAUUUUCUUCUGUCUUUGACCCUCACGGUCACAGGAAGCACUUCGCUUCAGUGGCUGGCGUUUCCGUCAGAACAUGAGCGCAGAGGAGGAACCCGUUUAUUGACUCGGCUAAAAAGCUUGAGCAAACAUCUGCAGCACUUUGUCCUCAAGGGAUCAGACGGACUGUAAUCUUUUAAGGUGGUCUGAGGCAACAGCUUUCCAGGAAGGCACAAGUUUCAUCUGUUCUGCUUUUUCUUUUAGCUGCAUUUGAUGCAGCGGAAAUGUUUGAGAAAUUACAGGAUGUUGGUGAAAAGAAAAAAAAAA